CUUGAGAGAGCGGAGGAGGCGCAGGCGCAGCACAGUUUAAACUUGAUUUUGUGAGGGGACGAACAGCGUGACAAUUAAAGAAGAUCUAGGAAUCCAGAGCAACUGGGAACCUAAUUCUGACCAACAAGGAGGAAUUGUUUGGCUAAUUGGAAGUGACAGAAACCUUGGGAGAAAGCAACCGCAUACCAAGGAUAAUUAUAAGAAGAAGAGAAGACAUGGAGAAGAGGAGGGAGUAGUUGUGACCGUGGAGGCAGAGAAUGGAGUAAUGUGAUCAUAAAUCAAGGAAUGCUGACAGCCACUAAAGCUGGAGAAGGCCAAGGACAGAUAUUCAAUCCUCCCGUAGAAGUACAGCCCUGCUAAUGCAUUGAUUUUGGACUUCUGGCCUCAGAACUGUAAGAGAAUAAAUUUCUAUUGUUUUAAGCCAUCAGUUUGUGGUAGUUUGUUACAGAAACCCUGUAAAGUUAAUACACAGAGUUCAAAGAGAAUCCGG
rnacentral:lncRNA from 1 species